rnacentral:tRNA from 1 species
UGUAGCUAUAACUAAAGCCCCCCGCUUACACCGUGGUCAUGCCUGUUCAACCCAGACCAUUUUGA